CCUGUCCGGGGUGGGUUCCCAUAUUGCUCCCUGAGCUGCCAGGAUAGGCUCCAACCACCUGCGGCCUCCACCGAAAUAAUUAGAAAACCUUUUUUUGGAAAGAAUCGAAACUAAAAACCCAACUAUUUAAAAAAUGGAAACUUUUGGCCGGGAACGGAGGCUCACACCUAUAAUCUCAGCACUUUGGGAGGCCGAAUGGGCGGAUCACAAGGUCAAGAGAUUGAGACCAUCCUGGCCAACGUGGUGAAACUCCGUCUCUACUAAAAAUACAAAAGUUAGCUGGGCAUGGUGGCACAUGCCUGUAGUCCCAGCUACUCGGGAGGCUGAGGCAGAAGAAUCGCUGGAACCCAGGAGGCGGAGGUUGCAGUGAGCCGAGACAGCACCACUGCACUCCAGACUGGCGACAGAGUGAGACUCCAUCUAAAAAAAAAAAAAAGGAACCUUUUGCCUUACUUCGUUUGCUAGCUACAUUCAAGUCUGCAAUUAAGCUCGGUGUUUUGCCUUUCUCAAACUGUGCACAGGUCCUCUUGUUUGUUCCCCUUCUCUCUGUUGCCUAGGAAUACAGCCAAAAACUUGAGUAAUAGAUGAUAGAUGGGUCUGUCACUAAGCACAUCCUAGUGACAUAGAUAAGAAGCAAAUGCUACAAAAUUAUAGGUGCAAACUACAAGUUGUGUUUUAAUUGGUUUUAACAAGUACUUAUAAGCAGAAGAACUGUGAAAAAUCUAACAUUUUGUCCUACUUGCAAGCCUGCCAGUCUUUUGAGUGCUGGGCAAAGACACAAUAGUGCUGGGUCAGAGACAAUUAACUUUACUACUCACAUUAAUAGCAUUAGCAAGAGUAUCAUGAUUUUCUUGCACUGAUUCCUCAAGCCGCAAUUCCCACAGAAAAGCUCAGGUGACACCUACAUGCUCAGUGGGUUGCAUUAGAAAAGAGGAACGCAGAGCUCAGGAAACAUGGAUAUUUUAUAAUGGCCAGUAAAGAUGUCCCUUUGCUUUAGAAAGAGGCACUACCUCUAUCCAAGGCUGCAAGCACACCUGCCUUUUGUUUUAGAAGGAGAAAUGAUUUCUAUCUUCCAAGGCUGUUCACUAUAUGAAAAGACAGUCCCAAACAAAAGGCAGUUACUGACUUGCUUGAAAAAUGUGCAGAAAUGAUACGCUGCUUGAAUGUGGACAGCUGACACAGGGACAAGGAGUAAAAAUGAUUAGGUUUUGAGCUUGACCAACUAGGAAGAUAAUUAUUAGCAGUAGAGAAAAAAAGAACAAAGUAGAUUUUAGGGCAGAUAAGCCAUUUUUUAGGUAGGUUGAGUCUGAGAUGCCUCCAUAAAUAUAAGUUGAAAAUAUGAGAUUGGAGUUGAGACUUCAGAAAUACAUAUUUUGAGUAGUUACACUACAGAGGUAAGUCAUCAGAGUUCAUAAAAUUAAAGUGAGAAAAAGAGGCAAGUGAAGAAAAACAAGAUGGCAUUGCAUGAAGAACUUUCUUAGGAAGGAAGGCAGCAAAGAGGUAAAAUUGGAGGUGUAGUCAGAGAUGGAAGAUGAAAAAGGAAAAUAACAAUAUUUCAGAAAUGAAAUGAAAAAGGUCUUUUACUAAGUAAUUGGUACUACUACUUGUCAGUUUCAAGUGCUGUAAAAAAAAUGGGAAGAACCACACAUGUGCACUUUCAGUACUAUGUAUUUUAUGCUUCAGGGAUGCAUACCUGUUUAACAAAAGUAUGUUUUUUCUCAAAGUGUGUUGAAUAGUCCAGAAAAAGAUGGAGGUAGAAGUCAGACUUCAGGAGAUAAAGGAACCAGAAAGAUCAUUGAAGGCUGUGAUGGUAGAAAACAUUUUGACAAAGAGUUGUGCAAUGAGAAAGCUAGGGGUGGGACAAUUAAUUUUGAGGGUAACAAUUGGGGAUUUGAGUAGAUUUUUUGCUUCUGUUCUUUAAUUGUUUUGUCUUCUUUUUAAAGAAACCAAGAGACUGUUAAUGUAGUAGGAGCAGAGUUUCACAAUACAGAGCAGAGAGGGUGUUGGUUGAUAAAGAAUUGUCUCAAAUGAGAGGAAAAGAAUGGAGCCAAUAACAGAGAUGAUGUUUAAUUUGGGAAAGGUGGGACAUGUUAACAUGAGUCCAGAGAACUAAAAUGAGCUUAUGGCAUGCAGAUGCUGAAGAUGAAGAAAGGAAAGGAAGGAAAAGGAGGAAUUUAUAUUUAUUUAUUGAAUAAUCUUGUAAAACUGUUAAUCACCCCUUUUUACUGACGAUAAGACAUAAAUGUCAGAGGUGUUUUGCCUAAAGUAAAAAAUUCGAUAGUCAAGCUGGGUUUAAAACCAUAUCAGUCUUACGUCAAAGCAUGUUUUAAUUGCUGUUGUGUGGUUGUGAUUUUAAGGGAAGAAGAAGAGUUUUAUAAUGGGUUCUCUGAAAAAUAAAAUAUCAAUUAGAAAGAAACAAAACAACUGCUGAGAAGCAGUGAAUCCAAGCAGAAUCUGAGUAUCAUCACUUUUUAGUUAAACUAACCAGUCCAAUAUCCUGAUUUUUCUUUAACAGGCAAAGAAUUUUUGAGUCUUUCCCAUAGACUGAGUUCUUGUGAACUAUUUUACAGCAAUAAUGGCAUCCAAUCCUAUAGAUAACAAUAACAAAGCUGCAGACCAUUUUGUUGCCAGGUUUCUCCUCCAGGGUGGCUUUCCAGCUAGUUUGUAAACAAAUAACUCAGGUGGCCCUGUCAUGUUACAUUAACUAAAAACCAAGUCUAAAGCACACAUAUAAUAACAUAUGUGUGUGCAAACUGGCUUGCUUUCAAAUUCCUAAAUCAUACAAUUAAAUUUUAAAAAUAACUGUAUUUGGAAACAAGAAAAAAGUCACUUUGACACCCAACUGAUGUAUAUAAAGGAGACUGUGCAUAUGGGUUUUAAAAUGAGAUGAAAAUUGAAAUUUGAUCUUUGAGAUUAAAAACAAUGUUAUGUAAAUCUAUUUUUAUUUAAUUUUUCUGAAAAAUAUUGUAUUUGCUUUAUACCCUCUUGCUAUACAAACUUAUAUUGUUUUGCUUAC
rnacentral:lncRNA from 1 species